rnacentral:rRNA from 1 species
UGUCUAGCAAAGCCGAUUAAUGGUGAAGCCGCGAAUGGCUCAUUACAACAGCCAUAGUUUCUUAGAUCUUACUUUUCUACUUGGAUAACUGUGGUAAUUCUAGAGCUAAUACACGCAAACAAGCUCAGACCUUACGGAAUGAGCGCAUUUAUUAGAACAAAAACCAAUCGGACUUUCGGGUCCGUCAUUUGGUGAAUCUGAAUAACUUUGCUGAUCGCACGGUCAUCGUACCGGCGACAUAUCUUUCAAAUGUCUGCCUUAUCAACUUUCGAUGGUAGUUUAUGCGCCUACCAUGGUUGUAACGGGUAACGGAGAAUAAGGGUUCGACUCCGGAGAGGGAGCCUGAGAAACGGCUACCACAUCCAAGGAAGGCAGCAGGCACGCAAAUUACCCACUCCCGGCACGGGGAGGUAGUGACGAAAAAUAACGAGACGGCUCGCUAUGCGGUCCGUCAUCGGAAUGGGUACAAUUUAAAUCCUUUAACGAGGAUCUAUU